UGUCUGAGACAAAGGACCCCCUCCGAGUGCAGCCUCACUUGAAGAAGUGCUUUGAAGGCAUUGCCAGGCUGGAGUUUACAGACAGUCUGGAAAUCACGGGCAUGAUCAGCUCAGAGAAGGAAACUGUUCCAUUCAUACAGAAAAUCUACCCAGCUAAAGCCAAAG
rnacentral:sRNA from 1 species